UUACGGUCAAAUCACGUAGAAAACACCGGUUCUCGUUCGAUCACCGAAGUUCGUAGAGCCAGGUCCAGGUCAGUACUUAGAUGGGGGACCGCUUGGGAACACCUGGUACUGUAAG